rnacentral:rRNA from 1 species
UACGAAGGGGGCUAGCGUUGCUCGGAUUUACUGGGCGUAAAGGGCGCGUAGGCGGAUGACCAAGUUGGGGGUGAAAGCCCGGGGCUCAACCUCGGAAUUGCCUUCAAAACUGGUCGUCUUGAGUAUGGGAGAGGUGUGUGGAACUCCGAGUGUAGAGGUGAAAUUCGUAGAUAUUCGGAAGAACACCAGUGGCGAAGGCGACACACUGGCCCAUUACUGACGCUGAGGCGCGAAAGCGUGGGGAGCAAACAGG